AACAAUCAGUAAUUGUUUGUUGGAAUGUGGGGUUCUUGCCGACUCCGUACUGCCUUACCGUGUACAUGGUGCAUGCUGGAAGCGGCUCUCGAGUAAAAAAAAAUGGCGGUGUUGCACGAAUAUCUUCAAAAAACAUGACUGUAUUUUCUUCACAACCGACUGAAGCGGGGUCCUAAUUUACUCCUCCAACAUACGCAGAAAGUCUUGAAGAAAUGAGAUCAAGAAGAGAGUUAAGUUGUAAAAUUGAAAAGUGCAUGGCAACAGUGCAUCUGCGUGUGAAUUUUUGCAGCAACAGGGAGAAGCAAGAUGAGACGAAAUGGAGGGAUUCCCGAUAACUUCUGGGAAAAAAAGCUUCUGCUGAAGUUGCCAAUGAGCGCUUCAUGUUUUUGUGCCUGGGGAAGAUGACUGUGAACAACUGACGGUGACUCCCUCCUGGAUGUCUGGAUCUGAUGUUAACUAGUGGAACUCUCAUCUUCAAGACUGACUGAACCCUGAGGCUGGAGGCAUCUUAGGAAAGGGCAAAUCCAUGACAAUGAGAGGACACUAACAUUAAUGUGGCCAUUUUUUAAAAUCUGUACCACCAAGUUGACAAACUGAAACCGGGAGAUAGCCACCGGCCUGAUAGGCCUCAUUGGCUAAAGACAAACAUCAAUCACAACUACUGACAGUAAUCAGGAUGAAUAGCUGCACCACAACCAGUUCAAGAAAGACUAGCAGGAUAAAGAUUCCAAAUAAAACAUAUCAUUUGGUUUGUUGCAGUCACAGUAAACUUGUUGUGCAGCUGAAUAGAUGUUUUGUCCUUGCUGCAAGUGGCCAUCACCUCCUCAGCUAAAUUGUCAUGGAUUUGCAUUAGUUUAUUCAACCAGGCAUAUGUCGCUUGUGAUAGAAAAUGCAACCUAGAAAAUAUGUUAAUACCUUUGGGUAAUUUUGACUCAUAUUUAUCAUUUUUUUGUCUUUUCCCAACUCUGACAUAUAGAGAUAUCUUUAUGAAAAGUACUUACAGUUGUGAUUUAUGUUUGUAUUAAAUUUAAUCCUACUUCUAUAUUUAUUUCAGCACAUACAAAAAAGCAACUCCAACAAAUAGAGACAUUUGAGGACCAGCUGUUAAAGUCUGGCUGCAUUCCUAUAUGCGCACUUUUCCAGCAAUUUACUUCUAUAAUAGAAACUUAUAGUAAAGACAUGUGCCUGGUUGAAUUUUUGUGCCGAGAGAGGAAUCACCUUCGCUUUUUUUUUGGUUACAAUGUGUUUCAUGUUGUAAAUUGUUUUGGAAGCUGAAGAGUUUCAUUACCCUAGCACAUCAUAUUGAAAUACCAGCACCACGGCCAUUUCAUGAUAGGUCUUCUUAGCAUAAAUUGCAUCAUUUGUUGACAAGUCUGAACAGAAAAGGCACCUGACUCGCCAGUGUAGCAUUUCAAAACUGUUUUUUUACUGAAUACGGUUGGUCAAUUAAUUGCAAUGGAGAAAAUCCAGUGAUGCUUCCUUGGCAAAAUAUUGUUGACCCAAGUGUAUUGAGCCUGACAUGAAAUGGCCAUUGUGCAGUAACUAACCAACAAGAAACCAUCAGCCCAGAAACCUGAUGAUCUUUUAACUCAACUUUGAAAGGGGAAUUUCAUUCCUAAUGUCAAGUGUGAUAAACGGUCACAAAAAACGGUUCAUACCACUGUGAUGGAUGGAUUGGCAUUGUUUAGAUAGAAGUCACAUUUUUGUUCAUCGGUUGCUUUUUCAGGAUGAAGUUUUUGCGUUAGUAUCUCGCAGAUGACGUAUUUCAAUUUGGAAUCGGAUAUUUAAAUUGGAAACAUAUUUCUUAUCACAGGUUUUGAAAUUAAGGGCUGAAGGACACAGUGGUAAUAUGAUGUGCUAGUGUGGAUUCUUUGUGUUGAUGAGAUGAAUAAAUACAAACAUUUGUUCUUGUGUUGUGUGUUUGUAUUAAAAACACCUGCUGUCCAUUUUCCAGUUAUGCAGCCCCAACUUGGGAGAAUUUCAGAGUGAAAAAAAUUCCUGUGAAAUCCUACUCUUUUCCAUUUGUAAGCAUUUCCCAUGGGACCCAGUAAUUUAACUUUUUAUUCAAACUUCAACAGCAGUGAAAUGAGAGAAUUGAAGGGCAAAACUUAUGCAAAAUGGACAGCAGGUUUCUGUGUUUCUUGUGCAGCAUUUGGGAAUCAGUGAGGGCGCUGCAAUGAUGUGGGGGGGUUAUAAGGAGUAUUCUUAUUGGCACCACUGGAAGUAUUUUUCCAGAUGUAGCACUUCUUACAGCGCCCUCAUUUGCCAAGAAUAGUUUUGGGCUGUGAAAAAAUACAGUGCCCCUUUGUUUGGCCAGUCUAUUUCUAAAACUGUUGGUGCAUUCAUAAGAAAACAAUGUUUGGAAAACAUCUGUAAAAGUAUAUUUCCCUUUUUUU